UACGUAGGGGGCAAGCGUUGUCCGGAUUUAUUGGGCGUAAAGAGCGUGUAGGCGGCUGGGCAGGUCCGCUGUGAAAACUCGAGGCUUAACCUCGAGACGUCGGUGGAAACCAUCCAGCUAGAGUCCGGAAGAGGAGAGUGGAAUUCCUGGUGUAGCGGUGAAAUUCGUAGAUAUUCGCAAGAACACCAGUGGCGAAGGCGGCUCACUGGCCCGGUACUGACGCUGAGGUGCGAAAGCGUGGGGAGCAAACAGG
rnacentral:rRNA from 1 species